UAAAAAUCCAAGUCGUUGUACUCUAUUCUUCGGAGAGUUGACGAGGAAAUAAACUCUCCACUCAUUGUUCUAUUAGGAUUGUUCGAAAUUUCCCUCUGAUUCCUUCCUGAUUAGAAAAAGAUUACAUCUAUAUAUAUAUAUAUAUAUUGAUCAGCUUUACUCAUAAGUUUUGGAUCGCCGCCAAUUGUGAAGUUUAAGAUUAUUGCAGGCUUGAGAUGAUGUCAUUUUUGUUCAUAGCUUUGCUGUAUUGAUGCAAACACGGGAUAUGAAUGGAUGGUAUACAGCAAGUUGACAUAUUUUUACAAGACUCGAGCAUGGUAUUAGCACAGGAAUGCAUGGAUGUAGCUUAGAAUCUGCUCUUCUAGUAAAUGCUGAGGUUGAUUCCAUGGGAGGAGUUGUUGAUGCCGGAGUUGGUAUUCUGAACCCUUAAUUUUGUAGCCGAAUUUCCUGAUAGAUUUUGUAUGGAUCUGUGCCAUUGUAUCUCAUGCAUUGUAUCUGAAUUUGCUUCAUCAAGUUUUGAUCACGGUGGAAUGGGUUACUCAGGCUAACUCGGUGAAGGAAUUCCUGAAGCCGCUGGGUCUUCGAGACUAUUCAUUUAUAUUCAAAGAUGAGGACAUUGAUAUGCCACGCCUUGUAAACAUGACUGAUGAAGAUCUCAAGAAGAAAGGGUUACCGAAGGGUCCAAGAGAGACGAUACUUUUGGCAUUGAAGUCAAAGGACACUUGGAGUUGACUAGGUUUGCUUGUUUUUUGGUCGAGGUCUCAAUGUUUUAGACUAACAUCUGACAACUCAGCAAGCCUGUUUUAUAACAUGAUAAACGAUUUCGUACUUUGAACUGCCAUUUUGGGACCAGGGGAAAGGAAUGAUGUGUUUAAAGGUUUAGUACAAGACUAUUGGAGAUUCAUUUGACAUUUACAUGAUCAUUUUUGUAUAGGGGAUAAUUAGAGGGGACUUUUCCUGACGUAUUACAAUAUUAUAGUGUUUUCCUAUGUUUUCA